AAUCACCACUGUUGCCACGGAGACCUAGGGGUCGCCCAGGAAUUCUGGCCCCAAUAGGGAAGGGUGAGACAGCUGGCGUUUGAAGGGGCCAUUGAAGCAAACUGGGGAAAGUGCGUGUCGGCCAGCUGUCUAAAUGCCACAUCUAGCUACUCAAGUACCUGGCUAGAUAAAGUGCUUGACUCAGACACUUAGCCCAGAGCACCUGCCUUCCCCAUCCUGCAAGCAAGUCUUUGGUUUGUGUUCAGACAACAGACCGGGGAUUCCCAUCUAUCCGGGCACCCUGACACUCAGACAUAAGGACAGGAGACAGCCUGUCACUAUGGUAAAGCCAAGGGGCUCGGAGUAAUACCAAUACUGGAAGAACCCCUCAGCAGGCACCACUGAAAGCCUCAAAGGCUGGUAGUGUGGUCAGGGUGGUACAGCAGCAGCAGCCACAGGAGCGAGUCCAGCAGCAGCAGCAGCCACAGCAGCGAGUCCAGCAGCAGCCUGGCUCCCUUCUCCUGGCCCAAAGCACUGCAGAUUCUACCAGACUCCACCCUGUACCGCUGCAGGCCCCCUGCCAAGAAGCUCCUGAGAGGCCCUUGCCUUCAUUCUGGCCCUCACUGCCUCUGUCCUACAUCUCAAGCCUUCCUGCUCUCUCUCUCUCUGUGAGCAACUGAAGGAGCUGCCUCCUGCCUUAGCACCGAGAAGACAAGACAAUACAAAACAUUAAAUUAAGAUUUUGCUUUGAGCACCCAAGAUGUGCCAAACAUUA